rnacentral:rRNA from 1 species
CACGUAGGGUGCGAGCGUUGUCCGGAAUUAUUGGGCGUAAAGAGCUCGUAGGCGGUGUGUCGCGUCGGCCGUGAAAACCUGCAGCUUAACUGUGGGCUUGCGGUCGAUACGGGCAUCACUGGAGUUCGGCAGGGGAGACUGGAAUUCCUGGUGUAGCGGUGAAAUGCGCAGAUAUCAGGAGGAACACCGGUGGCGAAGGCGGGUCUCUGGGCCGAUACUGACGCUGAGGAGCGAAGGCCAGGGGAGCAAACGGG